ACCUACUGUUUAAUUUUGAGGGUUCGUUUUUACGAAUACUCAAAAUUAGCACUUUUAGCACUUUGAAAACUGCAUAUAUAUUUAGUGAUAUGACAUCUAAUUUGUAAUAUAUAAAGCUGAUAACUUUUAAAAUUAUCGAAGUUGAUAGCCUCUAAUCUAUCAAACCUUUUUAACUGGUCAA
rnacentral:misc_RNA from 1 species